rnacentral:tRNA from 1 species
CAUUAAGAAGCUAAAACCAGCGCUAGCCUUUUAAGCUAGAGAUGGGGUAAUAAAACCCCCUUAAUGA